UACGUAGGGUGCAAGCGUUGUCCGGAAUUAUUGGGCGUAAAGAGCUCGUAGGUGGUUUGUCGCGUUGUUCGUGAAAACUCACAGCUCAACUGUGGGCGUGCGGGCGAUACGGGCAGACUGGAGUACUGCAGGGGAGACUGGAAUUCCUGGUGUAGCGGUGGAAUGCGCAGAUAUCAGGAAGAACACCCGUGGCGAAGGCGGUUCUCUGGGACGGUACUGACGCUGAGACGCGAAAGCGUGGGGAGCGAACAGG
rnacentral:rRNA from 1 species